ensembl:snRNA U6 U6 spliceosomal RNA
GUGCUCACUUUGGCAGCACAUAUACUAAAGUGGGAACAACACAGAGAAGAUUUGCAUGGUCUCGUUGUGAAUGCAAAUUCACAAAGCGUUCCAUAUUUGG